UUUUUUUUUUUUUGUCUUUUUUUGCCUUUUCUAGGGCUGCUCCCCUGGCACAUAGACCCCAAGCUAGGGGUCUAGGGGUCUAAUCAGAGCUGUAGCCGCCAGCCUACACCAGAGCCACAGCAACGUGGGAUCCGAGCCAUGUCUGUGACCUACACCACAGCUCACGGCAAUACCGGGUCCUUAACCCACUGAGCAAGGGCAGGGAUCGAACCCGCAACCUCAUGGUUUCUAGUCGGAUUCAUUAACCACUGCAACACGACAGGAACUCCUAGCAAUCUCAUUUCUGGGGAUUUAUCCAAAGGAGGACUUGGGUUCACAUCUGCUACAUCCCAAGUGGUAUGAAGAUCAAAGAAGAUAAAAAUGUGCAAUGCUUGGUGCCCAGAGGUAAGCUCCUCCCUCCUUUCCUUUCCUCUGCGCAAAUCCAGGACUGUGGUUUUAAGAAGUCAAGACUCUUCAGAGAAGGGAGAAGUCAUCCCAGGCUGAAAUCAUCUGUGAAAGUGUUAGAGUUCAGUUUUCCAGGGGAAACUGGCAAUGCAGAGAGCUAUGCUGGGUCUGCUGGGGCGAAAGGCAGGGAUUUUGCCUCCUGAGGACCUCUCCGCUUGGCUGAACCUGUAAGGACAGAUGGGAAAAUGCCAACUAAACUGAGCCCCUGCAGGGUGAGUUGGUAGGCAGAGGUCCAGGAACAGGUGGGCCAAGUCUCAGGGGAGGCCAGGAGAGGCUGGGCAGGGAGAUGUGCCCAGGGAAGAACAGCUGGCCAGCGCCCGGGCUGUCCUAAGAGAGGCCAUAAGCUAAGGUGACAGUGGCCACACUGUAACCUUCCCUGCAGCUGACCAUGUGAUGGAAAUCUUCUGACAGCAAGCAAAGGGUUAAACUGCUUACUCUCCCCAUUUUGUUGAGGAGGAAAGAGGCUAGAGGGGAUUCCUAAGCUGUCUCUCCUGGGGGAGUCUGGGUAGGGGUGUGCUUUGCUUCAAAGUCCCUCUUUUGCGACAUGGAGCCAGGUCUCGGGUGAAAGAGGAGUUAUUUACAGUUGUGCAGUGGCCGGACCUGGGCCCUGUCAAUAUUUGGGAUGGUUCAAUCAUUAACUAACCUCAGCCUUGUCCCUUGGUAGGUGCUGGGCCUGGGCUUGGCCACAGUCCUUGGGAACUGGAGCCUUGAGCCCCUCGAACUGCCUGCCUGCUGGGGGCUCUGUGGGGCUUCACCAGAGGGCAGGCGGGUGGCUGCGCCCGCCCUCCACUCAGGGAAUCUUUCCAGGGUAGGUGUCCCCACCCACAGGGCUGCAGAGCUGUCUCGGGACCAAGUAAGCAAGUGCUUAGGGUGAUAAAACAAUUGGAGAAAUGGGUUUCAGAAGAAUCUGUCAAGAGAGAAAAAAGGCAUUGAAAGUAGUCAUCAUGAGGAAGUCAAACUUUUUUUUUUUUUUGCUUUUUAGGGCCAUAUUCACAGCAUAUGGGGGUUCCCAGGCUAUGGAUCCAGUCAGAGCUGCAGCCGCUGGCCUACACCACAGCCACAGCAACACCAGAUCUGAGCCGUGUCUGCGACCUACACCACAGCUCACGGCAACACUGGAUCUUUAACCCACCGAGCGAGGCCGGGGAUCGAACAUGCAUCCUCAUGGAUACUAGUCAAAUUCGUUUCCUCUGAGCCAUGAUGGGAACUCUGGGAAAGUCAAAGUUUUGAUGAACUUUAUUGCACUUAUUUUGUGGUUUGGUAUUAUUUUCAUUUUAAAUUAUGUAUGUAGUUCUUUGGUGGCACAGCGGGUUAGGGAUCCAAUAUUUUCCCCGCAGCAGCUCGGGUUUGAUCUCUGGCCCAGAAACUUCCACAUACCAAGGGCAUGGCCAAAAAUAAAUAAAUGAAAUAAAUUAUGUAUGUGGGGAAAGAAAACACACGAUAAUCUUUCUAGUGCUCCGAUCACCUACUGUUUCAGACCCUUUAUGUGCACUGUUUGAUUAAUUCUCUAAGCCAUCCUUAGAGAUACAGGCUCUUGUUCCCUCAUUUUACUUCUAGUAGGAAACUGAGGCUUGGCAAGUCAAAGUACUUUAUUUAUUUAUUCUAUUUUAUUUUUUGAGCGCUAUUUCUUGGGCCGCUUCCACGGCAUAUGGAGAUUCCCAGGCUAGGGGUCGAAUCGGAGCUGUAGCCACCAGUCUACGCCAGAGCCACAGCAACACCAGAUCCAAGCCGCGUCUGCAACCUACACCACAGCUCAUGGCAACACCAGAUCGUUAACCCACUGAGCAAGGGCAGGGACCGAACCCGCAACCUCAUGGCUCCUAGUCGGAUUCGUUAACCACUGUGCCACGACGGGAACUCCCAAAGUACUUUCUAAAUGCACACGGUGAGUAUGGACAGAAUGGGAGAUCUGCCCCCAAGUUUGUCUGACCCCAAGCCAGGACUGUUUAGUUAUAUCCAUCCUGGAAAAGAGACAUCAGCAGGAACUGGGGAGGGUUACUGGGGGCAGGUGGGGGUGACCUCCAGGUUUUGGCAGAGACUGGUGCUGAAUGGGGCCAGCCCUGAGGAUAUGGGGUCCUGAUGGCUGACACAUCCCUGCUGUGUGGUCUCCAAGGAUGCAGUUCUGGUCUUCUUAUAAGUGAGACAUAGGAGGCAGGGACAACAUUUCGCUUGAGAUAAGGUAAGAUAAGCUGUGUGCUGGAACUGGGUGGCAGCAACUGGGCAGUAAGAAGGCCAGGUUGGCUCCAGGGAAUCUAUGUUGCCUGGGGGUCACCUCACCCUAUGGGACACAGUUCUCAGUCUGGAGGGCAAGAAAACAGCUCACACAGCAAGCUGGUGGUAGAUCUAGACCUGAAACACAGGUCCCCUGGUUUCUAGCUCAUGUUCUGCACCCACUCACCACCUUCUACAAUGAGUAUAAGGGGUGGCCAAGGGUGUGGGUGCUGAGGUCCCAUGGGACCCUCCAUCAGGCAGGAACAUGUCACACAUAUAUAUUGUUUUAAAUCAGGAUAUUCAUGUACACAGUUAAACAACCAAAUAGUAGAGUCAUUAUCUGCCAUCUGAUCUCUCCUCAUUUACUCCUUUUUUCCUCUCUGUGCUGAUUUAAGUCAUUUUAUUAUUAUUAUUAUUAUUCCUUCAAGUUCACUAAUUCUGUCUUCUCUUGUGUCUAAUCCCCGUGAAAUCUGUCUGAUAUUAAUUUCAGAUAUUAAAGUUUUCAGUUCUAGAAUGUCCAUGUGAUUUUCUUUGCAUAAUCCAUCGCUCUGAAAAAUUCUCCAUUUUUUCACUCAUUUUUUUCUCUAUCUUAUAUUGUUAUCAUUAUUUUAAAUCAUUGUCAUCUUAUGCCAACAUCUGGAUCUUCUAUAGGGCUACAUAUAUUGGCUUUUUCUAUCUUGAUUAUUGGUUACGUUUUCCUGUUUCUUCGUCUAUCUUGUAAUUUUUACAGUAUGCUGAACACUGUUUAUAAAGUAACCAGUAACUGAAGAAUACAUAUUUCUCCUACCAGAAAAUGUUUCCGGAAUUCCCGUCACAAUUCAGCGGUUAAUGAACCUGACUAGCAUCCAUGAAGACAUGGGUUUCAUUCCUGGCCUCACUCAGAGGGUUAAGGAUCCAGUGUUGCUGUGAGCUGUGGUAUAGGUCACAGAUGUGGCUCAGGGCUACAGCUCUGAUUUGACCCCUAGCCUGGGAAACUCCAUAUGCUGUGGGUAUGGCCCUAAAAGACAAAAAAAAAGAAAAGAAAAGAAAAAAGAAGGAAAAUGUGUCCCCUCUCUGGUUAAAUAAAGGUGAAGCUGGAUGGCAAUUUUAGUUAGAAUCAGCAUCCAUCUGGUUUCAAAUGCUUCCUGAGGAGGAUCUCUCAGCCUUGAACUGAAAGCCAGAUAGGUCUGUCUUGCCUUCCCCAAAGAUGCAGGAAGUUGUUCUUCUCUGGACAGUUUUAAACCCUGCUCUUGGGAGUUCCUGUUGUGGCUCAGUGGUAAAGAAUUUGACUAGUAUCCACGAGGAUUCAGGUUUGAUCCCAGGCCUUGCUCAGUGGGUUAAGUAUCCAGCAUUGCCCUGAGUUGGUGUAGAUCACAGACAUGGCUCAGAUCUGGCGUUGCUGUGGCUGUGGCAGGCAGCUACAGCUCUGAUUUGACCUCUGGCCUGGGAAAUUCCAUAUGCUGCAGGUGCAGCUCUAAAAGGCAAAUAAAUAAAUAAAUAAGAAAAAACCCUCUGUUCUUCAGUUCCUCUGCCCUGCCCUGCCCUACCAAUGCUCCUUCCAAAUUCAUCAAUUUCUCCUUGCUUUUCUAUCAGUUUUUGCCUCACAUAUUUUGACACUCUGUUUUUAGAUGUAUACAUGUUAAAUAUCAUUUUUAUAAAAAGAAUUGACACCUUUAUCAUUAUGUAAUAUAUUUUUUUAUACCUGAUAUUUUUUCUUGGUCUAAAGUCUGCUUUGUCUAAAAUUAAUAUAGCUACUCCAGCUUUCUUUUGAUUAGUGUUAGCCUGGUGUAUCUUUCUCCAACCCUUUACUUUUAAUCUAUCUGUGUCUUAAUAUUUAAAGUAGAUUUCCUCUGUUUUCUAUUCAUAGCCCUUGUUCUUCAUUUCUCUCUCUCUCUCUUUUUUGCCACACCCAUGGCAUGCAGAAGUUCCUGGGCCAGAGAUUAAACCUGCGCCACAGCAGCGAGGUGAGCUGGUACAGCGACAACACCAGAUCCUUAACCCAUUGUGCUACAAAGGAACAUCCUUUGUUUCUUUUUUCCUUCCAAUAUUUUUCUUUUUUCUCUGAUUUUAAUUGAGCAUUUUAUAUUCUCUUUUUCUCCUCUCUUAGCAUAUCAAAAAGCAAAAUUUUAGUUUCCCUUGAGUCUGCAAUAUACAUUUGCAUUCAACCUAAGUCUUCUUUCGAAUAACACAUCAGUUCAUAGUGCAAAAAACUUAUAAUAGAUUUGUUCCCAAUUUAUCUCUCCCAACUUUUAUAACAUUGUAGUCAUUUCCCUUAACCAUAAUCUGUAACCACUAUUAUUAUUUGCAACAAAAUGUUACCUGUUAGAUCAAUUAAAAAUAAGAAAAUU
rnacentral:lncRNA from 1 species